rnacentral:miRNA from 11 species
ACCAGGUAUGCGCUGCCAUCACUUUUAUAUUUGUAAGUAAGUGUGUGUGUGUGUGUGUGUGUGUGUGUGUGUACACACACACACACACACACACAUAUAUAUAUGAUUUAU